GGUAGUAGCAAAUAUUCAAGUGAGAACCUUGAAGGCCGAAGUGGAGAAGGGUUCCAUGGGAACAGCAGUUGGCCAUAAAUGUCACGCUGAACACUAUCUUUAUCAUGUGGAGCGCAGGCUCAGGAAGUUACCCUGAGUUCUGCUAGGAAACCAUGACCAGCUGGAU
rnacentral:ncRNA from 1 species